rnacentral:lncRNA from 1 species
AGUUCCCAAUGUCUGAAAAUUGUCAGGUCUAACAAGCUAUUUCGAGCAAUUCUAGGUCCAAUUUCUGUUAAGUCCAUGAAGGAGAUGAGCUUCAUGCAAAUUCCAACCUUCUAUGAGUGGAGAGAAGCCUAUAUUUGUCUAGAAAGUAACAAAGUUCAGGUGGGGUAUGAUAUUGUCUACUAUUACUCUUAGCAUCACUAAAAAGUAAGCAGUGUGUUGAUGAAAUCCAUUUGCUUAAUGGACCUGCAAUGAUGAAAGACAUAAAAUUUAGCCAAUGUGUGCACAAUUUAAUUUAAAAUAAAGGGAGCUAAUUUGUUCAAUAUCAAGAUGAUACACAAGCAUUUUUAUCCUAGAUACUUUAUGCAGAAUGCAUUGACUUAAUAAUGUGCAACUUUAAUUUAGCUAAUAUCAAGUGCUUACAAAGAGGAGUUCAAUUUUCACAACACAUGGAGUAACAUAUUUUAUGCUAAAUUUUAACAGUGAUUAACUGAAGAAUACAGAAUAAAUCCUUAAAGUAUGUAAGAAUAAAUCAGUAUGUGACUAUAUUCGUUAGUUAGAGACAGCAAGAGAUUUCUUUGCAUUUCAAAAACUCUUAAAAGAAUCAAUAAGAAGGAGGGUAAUGUGAUUGAUUCAUUAUAGUAUUGAUAUAUUGAACUUCAUAGAUAAUUUUCCACAUUAUAUAAUCAAGUUGUAGGUAUAGCUCCUUUAAAUAAUAUUAAAAAGAUGUGUAAGUAUAUCUUAUCUUGUCUUUCUAUCUUGAAAGAUCAAAUAGUAAUUUUUUAGUUGUUUCAAGUUACUCAAUAAUUAGCUCAAUACGUCAAAGUAAAAUAAAAAAAUAGUAAGGUCAAAAGUUCUAGAGUAACUCACUGGGAAGUAGGUACUUGCCUCGAAACUCUUUAAAAAUUAUGUACUCUUUCAAUGGAAGUACUACAUCAAUCGAAACUGGUCAAGUAUAACAUAGGGCUUGUAGUAAAAGCAAGACGCUAAGAUAAAGAAGAGUUAAGAUAAGAGAUACUAGAAUAAUGGAAACAUAGCUCAUUAAAGAAAUUUAAUCAUAUAAGAUUUCUUCAAUCCAGUUCUACUUGAGCAAAGAUGCAACCAACACAAAUGAAAGAAAGUAAAAUAUUAAACACAAUAAUUAACUCAAUACUUUCAACUUUAAAAGAGAAGGCGCAGGGAACACACUUCCAUUUCAAUGAAGUAGUGAUAAAAGUUUAUAGCUAACAGGUAACACCAUAAGAAAAAAAUGUAGCAAACAACUAGUAUCAAAGCUACAACUAACAAUUUUAAAAAUAAGAAGCAACUAAGAACAAUACAAUACCUCAUCUUCUGUUCCUUUUAAACUUUGUCUAUGAGUAAGUUCGACAACAAUAAUUAAGAGAGAUGUAAAAAGCUUGUAAACAACUAAACACUUGGCCACAACCUCAUCUUUUAUUUUUUUUUGCUUUUUCAAUUGUAUUCUAUUGCUUCUUAGAAGUAUUUUUUGACCUAUAUGGAGGGGACUUGAUCCUCUUUCGUGCUAUAUACCAAGAAAAAAUCUAGAAAAACGAAAGGUACAAGAAGUAAUGCAAUUAUAUAAGUUAAUCACUUCAAAAAACAAUAAUGUAACAAUAUAUUUGUCUUACAAAAGAGGUCAUUCUUAUAUCUAUCCAUAUCCUUCACAAUUAAAUAAAAUAAGUUCAGCAAGUUGAACAUUGGUACAAAUUAAAAUCAGUGAACACCACAAGUAAAUUAUAGGGAGGGUAAAGUAAUAUAAAUAAAGGAAAAACAAACACACAACAAUAGCUGAAGAAAAUAAAAGGACUAUAACUAAGGACAACAAACUCACAAACUCCAUGCUAACGCUCAUGGAAGCUAUUUUAAUUCAUUGAAACACGUCAUUCUCAUCUCAUUGUGGACGCUAAAGUAGAUAAAAUACGAGGUCUUCUUCUUAAACAAUCAUUGAGAUAUGCACUAAUUAUUAAAAUCUAAUAGUUGAAUCAUAUCAAUACCCAUUUAUCUUUUUUGAAAUUUCUUUUUCUGUCAAUGUAUAGCAUGUUCUAGCUAUAAGAUUUUCUAAGCUAGUUGCAAUGCUUAAAGAGAACAUACAUUAAAGAAAUACAAGAAUCUCUGAAUGUGUACAUCCAUAGUAAGUAAAAUUUAACCAAGUGAACAACUCAAGAUUACUCAUCCACAUGAUUUCAUAAAGUACAGAUAGUUAAAUGAGUAGUAAAAUAAAUUUCCAGCUUAAUAUUUUCUUUGAAAUAGUAAAUUAACCUAUCCUAUCAGUGUUACCUUCACUACAUUGGUUACAUACUACUUAAAACAAUAUAAUUCUGAAAUGAAGAGCAAAAUAAAAACACCUAUUGUUUGAAUUCAACCAAUUCACCGUACAGUAAAAGCCAUAAUUAUAGCCUAACCUUAGGUAUCCUUGGUCAUCCAAGCAAAUUUCCAGAUGACUAAUUGUCUUCUUUAGAUGAAUAUCAAAGUUCAUAUGUAUGAUUUUAAAUUUUCUUAUAUCUAGUUUCUCUGUUCAAUUGUCUUAUUUUUUACUCUUUAAGGAAAAAUUACAAAAUCAUGGUGCAAGAUUGAACAUGAACUAGUUUAUAGCUUUUAAUAUACUAAAGAAAUUAAAUAGCUCUGUUUUCUUAGUUGUGAGUAUUCUCAUUCGCCAUACCAAAAACACAAGUGUUUAUACAUGCAUCAGAAAGGACAUUUAAAAAAAGAAACACUUUUGUUCUCUAAAUUAUUUGUUCAUACAUAUCAAACAUUUAGAGGGAAAUAGCUUCUUUCCCCAGAUCUAAGCCCUUUUUUAACAUCUAACACUAACCACCAUUCCUCACACAAGGCCCAAUACUCCAAGUUACAGAUCUCGCGAUAAAACAAUCAGUAUUAGGUAAAAUCAAUUUCGGAAGUUUUUAUUCUCAAACAAUCAAUGUUCAUCGAUAAAAAAUUUCUUCUUUUAAAUCCAAAAAAGAAAAGACCGAGAAAAUAGACAAACCUGUUCGAAUAGACAUAUUUUUCAGCGAAUUUGUGAAUCUUCAACCACUUUAGAUAGAUAUGGA